GCCAGUAGCCAUAUGCUUGUCUCAAAGAUUAACCCUUGUUUGUCUCAGUAUAAGCUUUUACACGGUGAAACUGCGAAUGGCUCAUUAAAGCAGUUAUAGUUUAUUUGAUGGCCCCUGUUACAUGGAUAACGGUGGUAAUUCUAGAGCUAAUACAUGCACCAAAACCCGACUUCACAAAAGGGUUGUGUUUAUUAAAUACAAACCCAACCCAGGCUCCCCCUGGUUUUGUGGGGACUCAUAAUACCAAAAUGAACCGUAGGGCUUUGCUAACGAUGAAUCAUUCAAGUUUCUGACCUAUCAGCUCCCGACGGUAGGGUAUUGGCCUACCGUGCCAAUGACGGGAAACGGAGAAUUAGGGUUGGAUUCCGGAAAGGGAGCCUGAAAAACGGCUACCACAUCUAAGGAAGGCAGCAGGCGCUCAAAUUACCCAACCCUGACACAGGGAGGUAGGGACAAGAAAUAACAAUACAGGGCAUCCAUGUCUUGUAAUUGGAAUGAGUAGAAUUAAAAUCCCUUUAGAAGUAUCAAU
rnacentral:rRNA from 1 species